rnacentral:rRNA from 1 species
GACGAACGCUGGCGGCGUGCUUAACACAUGCAAGUCGAACGGAAAGGCCCUGCUUUUGUGGGGUGCUCGAGUGGCGAACGGGUGAGUAACACGUGAGUAACCUGCCCUUGACUUUGGGAUAACUUCAGGAAACUGGGGCUAAUACCGGAUAUGAGCUCCUGCUGCAUGGUGGGGGUUGGAAAGUUUCGGCGGUUGGGGAUGGACUCGCGGCUUAUCAGCGUGUUGGUGGGGUAGUGGCUUACCAAGGCUUUGACGGGUAGCCGGCCUGAGAGGGUGACCGGCCACAUUGGGACUGAGAUACGGCCCAGACUCCUACGGGAGGCAGCAGUGGGGAAUAUUGCACAAUGGGCGGAAGCCUGAUGCAGCAACGCCGCGUGCGGGAUGACGGCCUUCGGGUUGUAACCCGCUUUCGCCUGUGACGAAGCGUGAGUGACGGUAAUGGGUAAAGAAGCACCGGCUAACUACGUG